GGACUUCCGGGGGCGGCGCGAACGGUAAUGGCGGUCUUCUCCCGACCGGAGAAGAAGCUCCGCUGAAACCGGGUCGUCCGCUACGGCGAAGCGGAGACCCAGUGAGAAAAACCCCAGGCAGCAAGAGCCUGGGGUCCUGAGGCUCGGCGGGCGCCAAGAGCAGCCCUCCAACUGCAGAAGGAGCCUCGUAAGAGGCUCCGGAGCGUGGAGGGGGGCUGCGGCGCUGUGAGCCGUUUCACAGUCAACGGAGUGAAGCCGCGCUGCUGCUGCCGGUGAGCGCUGAUCCCUUUUCCUGUUAAAAUUCGGACCUGGAAGAAAACAACUUACUCGUGAGUAAAGACUGAAUCACUUGGAAUUACAAAUUUUAAAUGAGAAGGUUUAAAUUGACUUGAAUUUGGCUGAAAGCGGAGAGACGUGGAAACAGGAAGUCCGUCUUCCGCUGCCAUUGAACUUGGAAAAAAAAGCAACUAAGGUGGAGGAGUGGAGGCUGAAAGAAAGAGAUUUUAAACUCUACACAGCCAAGCAUUUAUGGAACUUACAAUUUAAAGUAAAAUUAGCAAGUUAAAGAUUUGGACCUUUUAUUUGCACUUGACUUUCCCCUUUUAUUGGAUUACAAAUUGGAAGGUGAAACCCAGAGUCAGGACUGCCUGAGCAUUGUAACAGUGGGCUGUCAGUGUUUGACUUGGAUACUGUAUACUGGAAGUUGCAACAAUUUGAGGGCAUUGAGACAUUUUAAAUUUGAAACAUUCUUUUUGGAGACAAAUAAGCACUGUCUGCAACAAAGUGAUUACCUUUAAACUCUGCUUAAUACUUAUAUUGGAAGGUUCUGGGACAUUAAAUCAGACUCUGAAAAGACAUUUUAAGCUCCCUCUAGAGGAUUGGAUUAAAACAGUGACUUUAUAAAAACAUUUACUUUCGAUUCUCUUGUUGUCUGCUUGCUCUGGGACUCUCUAUUCCUGUGGGAAAAACUCAGUGUGACCUUGACUGAUAGAUAACAUUGGAAUGAGUGGUACAAGAAGAAGAGGAAGAGUUAGACAAACAACUCUAACAAAUCUAACCUCAGCCUCGCAGACACGUAGAUCAUCUGUGCCUACUUUGCCCUCAGAAGUACAACUUGAAGAAGCUGCCUUGCCACAGGCAAAAGAGGGAGAGGGUGAAGUAGAGCAGUUACAAUUGGAAGAUAUGGCCUCAGGAGCAUCUGCUUCUGUGCUAGAAAAAUCUUUGAAAAAUUGGAAGCUUUGGACAAGAAAGUAGAUGCGCAAUCAGCAAAGAUUGAUAAAAAUACAGAGUGUCUAAACAAAUUAACUACACAGGUGGGACAGAAUACACAAGCAAUUGGACAGUUGACGGAGGCCUCAGUAGAAAAUCGAAAAUUGGCUGAGGACACCAGACAAAAAUUGGAAAAUUUAGAGCAAGAGGUAAGACCACUCACUAAACAAGUUGGGGAACAUCAGAUUUAUCUUUCUAUGAUAGAACUGCGAAAUCGUGAGAAUAAUCUGAGGAUUAGAUCAUUACAAGAGGCAGAAGAAGGAAAUCUAACUGAGUUUUUGACCAAAGAACUUUCCAAGUUCUGGAAUUUGGAAGAAAAGGACUUUAAAAUUGUGUCAGCUUUCAGACUUGGAAGAUUUAUAAAGAAGGAGAGGCCCAGGGAUUGUUUGAUUACAUUGAGAUCGAAGGAGGAAAGGGAUAAGAUUUUGGGCCUACAUUACGAAAAGUCACUGGAAGUUUUGGAUAGAAGAAUUGAGAUAUAUAAAGAUAUCCCAAGACAACUGUUGGAUCUUAGAGCCGCCUAUUCUGAACUAGCUAAACUAUUAAGGAGCAACGCAAUUCCAUUCAGGUGGGAUUUUCCCCAGGGAUUGUCUUUUACCUUUAGAGCGAGAAAGGUUAAAAUUAGAACAUUGGAAGAGAGAGAUAAAUUUCUGGCUACACACGGAGAGGACCUACAUAAAGGAAUUGAACUACCUUCCGGGCCUGAGGCAAAGCCAGCAUCAAUACCUCCACCUCGGGAACUUGAAGAUCAAGAGAAGACACCACCCCAGGAGAAAUAACCAGAUAGAUCCAGGAUGUCUCUGCAACUGUUGAGCUGGAAUAUUAAUGGUUGCAAUAUCCCGGAGAAAAGGAAGAAAAUUUUUCAUAUAUUAAAAAAAGAACAAUUGGACAUUAUUUGUUUACAAGAAACACAUGUGACGAGGCUCCACAGAAAAGUGUUAACAAAUAAAAGAUUGGGCCAGGAAUUUAUUUCGUCGGAUAAAGUGAAGAAGAGAGGAGUGGUGAUAUAUGCAAAAGAGAGCCUGUCACCUAAAUUUCUAUUUAAAGAUGAACAUGGAAGGAUUUUGGCUAUUGAGAUACAAUAUCAAGGAGAGAAAUUGCUGAUAUUAGGAAUCUAUGCGCCUAAUGAAGGGAAAUCGGAAUUUUACAAGAAGUUGCAGGGGACAAUGCUGGAUCAUCUGGAUUACAACAACAUCAUAAUGAUGGGAGACAUGAACGGGGUCGUGUCAACUAACAUGGACAAGUCGCAAAGUCAAAACAUCACAAAAGAUGGCAGACUACCUAAAACCUUUUUGAAAUGACUGACAAUAUGGACUUGAUCGACAUUUGGAGAACAAAAACCCACUAGGUAGAGAAGGAACAUUCUUUUCUGAAGCCCAACUGACCUGGACAAGAAUCGACCAAAUAUGGAUCUCUAGAGGCCUGGCACCUAGGGUUAGAAAAGUGGAAAUCUGCCCAAAGACCUGUUCUGACCACAACGCAGUAAAGAUGGACAUGACACUACUACCAACUGGAUCCUUUAGAUGGAAGAUGAAUGACAAUUUGUUUAGAGAUCAGGAAAUUACCAAGAAGGCCCAAAAAGUUUUGAAAGAUUAUUUUGAGAUAAAUAUGAACAAUUCGGUGGAAAAAAGAAUCGUCUGGGACGCAAGCAAAGCUGUCAUGAGGGGUUUUCUGAUACAACAGAAUGUAGUAAAGAAAAAAACACAAAAUGAGAAAAAAGACAAGAUUUUGGAUAAAAUAAAAGACUUGGAGAAGAAAUUAAGAGUGAAUCCAAAGUCACAGCCAACUCUGAGAGAAAUUAAACUUUAUCAAACACAGUAUUCUAAAUUGAUAAAUCAGGAAAUUGAAUGGAAGAUCAAAUUAAUGAAACAAAAACGUUUGAGUCGGCGAAUAAAUGUGGAAAACUGCUAUCUUGGCAGUUGAAGAGAAGACAAAGAUUAAACACGGUUACAAAUUUAGAGGUUGAUGGAAGAAACAUUCAGAAUCCAGUGGACAUUAGAAAGUGUUUCCAGAGAUAUUUUAAAAAGUUAUAUACCCAAGGGCCGCAAGACGAAGUUGAGAUUAAACAAUUUUUGGCAAAAAAUGGAUUAUCUAAACUGUCACAAGAAAAUAGGACAAUCCUGAACUCUAAAAUAACACGACAGGAGAUUGAACAAGCCAUUCAGA